rnacentral:snoRNA from 1 species
AACCCAUGGUGAGGGCACCAUCUCAGUAAGUUCUUGUAUCUCUCCCAUGCAUCGUAAAGUGUUUCUAAAUCCAUCUGCAUAAAAGAAGAGAUAUCGUUAUGCAAUU